AUUGCUGGAACGCGCCCCUGGCGCACCCAGAAACCCUUUGUGAACUUAUACCUUACUGUUGCCUCGGCGCAGGCCGUCCCCUGAUGGGGUCCCUCUGGAGACAGAGGAGCAGCCGGCCGGUGGCCAAAUUAACUCUGUUUUUACACUGAAACUCUGAGUACAAAACAUAAAUGAAUCAAAACUUUCAACAACGGAUCUCUUGGUUCUGGCAUCGAUGAAGAACGCAGCGAAAUGCGAUAAGUAAUGUGAAUUGCAGAAUUCAGUGAAUCAUCGAAUCUUUGAACGCACAUUGCGCCCUCUGGUAUUCCGGAGGGCAUGCCUGUUCGAGCGUCAUUUCAACCCUCAAGCCUGGCUUGGUGUUGGGGCACUGCUCUCUGACGAGAGCAGGCCCUGAAAUAUAGUGGCGAGCUCGCCAGGACUCCGAGCGUAGUAGUUAAACCCUCGCUUUGGAAGGCCUGGCGGUGCCCUGCCGUUAAACCCCAACUUCUGAAAAUUUGACCUCGGAUCAGGUAGGAAUACCCGCUGAAC
rnacentral:rRNA from 1 species